rnacentral:rRNA from 1 species
GAGUUUGAUCAUGGCUCAGGAUGAACGCUGGCGGCGUGCUUAACACAUGCAAGUCGAACGAACCUUCGGGUUAGUGGCGGACGGGUGAGUAACGCGUGAGAAUCUGCCCUCAGGAGGGGGAUAACGGUUGGAAACGACCGCUAAUACCCCAUAUGCCUACUGGUGAAAUGAAUUUCGCCUGAGGAUGAGCUCGCGUCUGAUUAGCUAGUUGGUGUGGUAAUGGCUCACCAAGGCUUCGAUCAGUAGCUGGUCUGAGAGGAUGAUCAGCCACACUGGGACUGAGACACGGCCCAGACUCCUACGGGAGGCAGCAGUGGGGAAUUUUCCGCAAUGGGCGAAAGCCUGACGGAGCAACGCCGCGUGAGGGACGAAGGCCUCUGGGCUGUAAACCUCUUUUCUCAAGGAAGAAGAUAUGACGGUACUUGAGGAAUAAGCCACGGCUAAUUCCGUGCCAGCAGCCGCGGUAAUACGGGAGUGGCAAGCGUUAUCCGGAAUUAUUGGGCGUAAAGCGUCCGCAGGCGGCUUUUCAAGUCUGCUGUUAAAACGUGGAGCUUAACUCCAUCAUGGCAGUGGAAACUGAAAGGCUUGAGUAUGGUAGGGGCAGAGGGAAUUCCCGGUGUAGCGGUGAAAUGCGUAGAUAUCGGGAAGAACACCAGUGGCGAAGGCGCUCUGCUGGGCCAUUACUGACGCUCAUGGACGAAAGCCAGGGGAGCGAAAGGGAUUAGAUACCCCUGUAGUCCUGGCCGUAAACGAUGAACACUAGGUGUCGGGGGAA